rnacentral:lncRNA from 12 species
AUUGACCUGGAAAUGGCCUGUCUGAAAAGCUUUUGUAUGAAAUUCUAAAACCUGGUUACAAACACUAAUGAAAAGUGUUUCACAACUUUCUUGUCAGACAGAGUUUCUCCGUUCCUCUAUGCUGGCGUCCUUGGCAGACAGAACGCCCUCCUGCCAUGAUCACUGACCCCUUGAGCCUUCACUUCCUUCUCCAAAACACGUUAAUGUUGCAAGCUACAGGGUUUGGAAGAGCUACCUGUUGUAAAUGGCAUCCAUGGAAAAAGCAUAUGGACUGACAAAGAGCUGAGGAUGCCUUAUCUGUUUAUGUUCCUGAAAUACUUUGUAGAGAAAACUAAAUUCUAUGACUAAAAUGUUCACUUAAGCCUUAUAAAUUUUGUAAACAUUCUCAAAUGCAGUGUUAACGAUUGUUCACAUAAGUUGCGCCAUCUGCUUAACAGUUAAAGACUUUACCUUCACACUGAAGCAGCAGUGAAGACAACACAUAGAGGAGGAACCUGCAGUCAAGAGCAGCUGACAGAUCAUCUAAAGACAGACUGGAAAAUUUGCCUGCUGGUAAAGAAACUCCUGAUGAAACUUUCAGGAUGCUUAGCACUUAGCACCCAACACUACAGUAUGCUUGCAGAAAUCAUGGGCUGAGAGGUAAAUGAUCAGUCAUCAGGACUUUCUGCUUGGACUUCUUUUCAUUUAAAGCCAG